rnacentral:rRNA from 1 species
GAUGAACGCUGGCGGCGUGCUUAACACAUGCAAGUCGAACGGUAAGGCCCUUUCGGGGGUACACGAGUGGCGAACGGGUGAGUAACACGUGGGUGAUCUGCCCUGCCCUUUGGGAUACGCUUGGGAAACUGGGUCUAAUACCGAAUAGGACUACGCUACGCAUGGGGGGUGCUGGAAAGCUUUUGCGGUGUGGGAUGGGCCCGCGGCCUAUCAGCUUGUUAGUGUGGUGAUGUCCGACCAAGGCGACGAAGGGUAGCCGGCCUGAGAGGGUGUCCGGCCACACUGGGACUGAGAUACGGCCAGAACUGAUACGGGAGGCAGCAGUGGGGAAUAUUGCACAAUGGGCGCAAGCCUGAUGCAGCGACGCCGCGUGGGGGAUGACGGCCUUCGGGUUGAAAACCUCUUUCAGCACAGACGAAGCGCAAGUGACGGUAUGUGCAGAAGAAGGACCGGCCAACUACGUGCCAGCCGCCGCCGUAA